rnacentral:rRNA from 1 species
UAAAACCUGCAGCUCAAGUGGUGGCCGCUAUUAUUGGGCCUAAAACGUCCGUAGCCGGUUUAGUAAAUGCCUGGGUAAAUUGUGUAGCUCAACUAUACGAAUACCGGGUAGACUGCUAAACUUGAAACCGGGAGAGGCUAGAGGUACUCCUAGGGUAGAGGUGAAAUUCUGUAAUCCUAGGGGGACCACCAGUGGCGAAGGCGUCUAGCUAGAACGGGUUUGACGGUGAGGGACGAAGCCCUGGGGCGCAAACCGGAUUAGAUACCCGGGUAGUCCAGGGUGUAAACGCUGCUCGCUUGAUGUUAGUCGGGCUCCGAGCCCAACUAGUGUCGGAGAGAAGUUGUUAAGCGAGCUGCCUGGGAAGUACGGUCGCAAGGCUG